rnacentral:rRNA from 1 species
UACGUAGGGUGCGAGCGUUGUCCGGAAUUACUGGGCGUAAAGAGCUCGUAGGUGGUUUGUCGCGUUGUUCGUGAAAACUCACAGCUCAACUGUGGGCGUGCGGGCGAUACGGGCAGACUGGAGUACUGCAGGGGAGACUGGAAUUCCUGGUGUAGCGGUGGAAUGCGCAGAUAUCAGGAGGAACACCGACGGCGAAGGCAGCACUCUGGGCCGGUACUGACGCUGAGGAGCGAAAGCAUGGGGAGCGAACAGG